CACACCCACACACACACCUUCCUGUCUGCAUCCCGUCUCUCCUCUCCUUUCUCUCCGCUGCUGUUUUAUUUCUGCAGCCGAAUCCUGACAUGAAUCCUAAACUGAGUUCCAAACUUAAGAACCCAGAAACGGCCUGGACCCGGUUGGUGGGCCCCAUAAGGCCCAGUUGGUCCCCACAGUGUCGAGUUUGUUGGAACAACAGUCCUGACAUUGUAGCUACACACACACAGAGCCCGGUUCUGGUUCUGGAGUAGAAUUGGGUUUUAUUCUACAUAGAGACGCACCGAUGCAUUCACUGCCGAUACCGGGCCGAUAUCUGAGGUAUCGGCUGAUAUUGAUCUAAUAUAGAUAAAUAGUGCUAAAUUGACUUUAAGUAUUUAAAAUUAACAUUUGUUUAAAUGUU